rnacentral:sRNA from 1 species
GCGGCUGUCCUAUCAGGUCGU